rnacentral:sRNA from 1 species
AUAUCUCUCCGUACGGGAAGGGUGAGAAGCUUCGACUAAGGUUCGAUUCGAGCGCAGCGAGAAAGCGUUGCCGCAGGCAACGACCCGAAGGGCGAAGCGCGCAGCGCUGAGUAAUCCUUCCCCCACCACCA